rnacentral:tRNA from 1 species
GGAAGGGUGCAAGAGUGGUUUAAUUGGCACGCCUGGAAAGCGUGUGUGCGUGAAAGCGUACCGAGGGUUCGAAUCCCUCCCCUUCCG